rnacentral:rRNA from 1 species
ACGGCUCAUUAACACAUGAUCAACUUACCCUAUAGAGGAAAAUAACCUCGGGAAACUGANGAUAAUGUUCCAUAGUUGAAUCGGCUUGGAAAAGUUUUUCAAUAAAAGGGAUAAGGAAAAUGGUUCUUAUCUGCUAUAGGAUAGGAUCGUGCUCGAUUAUGGUUGUUGGUGAGGUAAAGGCUCACCAAGCCGAUAAUCGAUAGGGGCCGUGAGAGCGGGAGCCCCGAGAUGGGUACUGUGACAACGACCCAGGCCUUACGAGGCGCAGCAGGCGCGAAACCUCCGCAAUACACGAAAGUGUGACGGGGUUACCCAAAGUGUUCUAUUUAGAACUGUGGUAGGUGAGUAAUGUCCCCUACUAGAAAGGAGAGGGCAAGGCUGGUGCCAGCCGCCGCGGUGAAACCAGCUCUUCAAGUGGUCGGGAUAAUUAUUGGGCUUAAAGUGUCCGUAGCCGGUUUAGUAAGUUCCUGGUAAAAUCGGGUAGCUUAACUAUCUAUAUGCUAGGAAUACUGCUAUACUAGAGGGCGGGAGAGGUCUGAGGUACUACAGGGGUAGGGGUGAAAUCUCAUAAUCCUUGUAGGACCUCCAGUGGCGAAGGCGUCAGACUGGAACGCGCCUGACGGUGAGGGACGAAAGCCAGGGGAGCGAACCGGAUUAGAUACCCGGGUAGUCCUGGCCGUAAACGAUGCAUACUAGGUGAUGGCACGGCCAUGAGCCGUGUCAGUGCCGUA